UGGAAGUAAAAGUUGUAACAAGGUCUCCGUGGAGGAACCUGCGGAGGGAUCAUUACACAAAUAAGAAGGCGGGCUGGAACCUCUCGGGGGUACAUCCCUGCUGAAAUAUUCACCCUUGUGUUUUGCGUAAUUUUUGUUUCCUUGGUGGGUUCGCCCCCCAAUAGGACAAACAUAAACCUUUUGUAAUUGCAAUCAGGGUCAGUAACAAAUUAAUAAUUACAACUUUCAACAACGGAUCUCUUGGUUCUGGCAUCGAUGAAGAACGCAGCGAAAUGCGAUAAGUAGUGUGAAUUGCAGAAUUCAGUGAAUCAUCGAAUCUUUGAACGCACAUUGCGCCCUUUGGUAUUCCAAAGGGCAUGCCUGUUCGAGCGUCAUUUGUACCCUCAAGCUUUGCUUGGUGUUGGGCGUCUUGUUUUCUCCUUUGCGGGGGACUCGCCCUAAAGUAACAGGCAGCCCGCCCAUUGGGUUUGGGGAGCAGCACAAGUCGCUCUGUCUCUCCGCAAAGGUUCACAUCCACAAACCCUUUUUCAACUUUGACCUCGGAUCAGGUAGGA
rnacentral:rRNA from 1 species